rnacentral:rRNA from 1 species
UACGUAGGGUGCAAGCGUUGUCCGGAAUUAUUGGGCGUAAAGAGCUCGUAGGCGGUUGUCGCGUCUGCUGUGAAAACCUGGGGCUUAACUCCGGGCCUGCAGCCGAUACGGGCAGACUAGAGUUCGGCAGGGGAGACUGGAAUUCCUGGUGUAGCGGUGAAAUGCGCAGAUAUCAGGAGGAACACCGGUGGCGAAGGCGGGUCUCUGGGCCGAUACUGACGCUGAGGAGCGAAAGCGUGGGGAGCAAACAGG